ACAGGAUACAGGAUGAAACUAGACACUAUGAAAGAUGAGCGAGAAGUUGAGGGAGGUCUGCCAGAAUGCAAUUUAAAAAAAGAGAAAGAAGAGGGAGGCAGACAUUGGGAGGACGGAAGGAAUUCAUGAUUGACGAGAGCAACGUCUACCACAAAAGGAAGCUGUGCGAGUUCAGCAGGCCAUGAGACGCACAGUUCCACAAGGAAUGUUGCAGCGCGCGCACUCAAUAAACACUAUAGGGACAGCUGAAGAGAGAGAGG